rnacentral:rRNA from 1 species
GCACGUGCUCAGCAUCUCUCUUUUGGGGGGGUGUGUAUUCACGUGCGCCUGCGCCGGCGUGGCUGCGUGCUGGUGGAUUUUGCACCGGCGCGUGGUGAGGGCUCCUGCUUGUCAGUGAGGACGCCGGCGAAAUGACGCAAUACGACCCGUCUUGAAACACGGACCAAGGAGUCUAGCGCGGCUGCGAGUCGAAGGGUGGCAAACCCAAGGGCGCAGUGAAAGCGAAUUUUGUGCAGAACGAAAACAGUUUGGGGCGGCAUAGCGACGUUGUCAACAUGUCCGACCCGGAGCAUGCGCGCUGGGACCCGAAAGAUGGUGAACUAUGCCGGAGUAGGGCAAAGCCAGAGGAAACUCUGGUGGAGGCUCGUAGCGAUGCUGACGUGCAAAUCGCUCGUCAAACUUGGGUAUAGGGGCGAAAGACUAAUCGAACCAUCUAGUAGCUGGUUCCCUCCGAAGUUUCUCUCAGGAUAGCGGGCCGACGAAGUGUUGUUUUGUGCGGUAAAGCGAAUGAUUAGCGCACUCGGGGGCGCAAUGCCUCUGGGCGAUUCUCAAACUUUCAAUGCGCAAGGGCGUCGCUGCUUGGAUGAGCGGCGCCGGUAAAAACGUCGGCCCUGUGGGCCACUUUUGGUAAGCAGAACUGGCGAUACGGGAUGAACCGUAAGCGCGGU